AUUGAACGCUGGCGGCAUGCUUUACACAUGCAAGUCGAACGGCAGCGCGGGGGCAACCCUGGCGGCGAGUGGCGAACGGGUGAGUAAUGCAUCGGAACGUAUCCUGUAAUGGGGGGAUAACGUAGCGAAAGUUACGCUAAUACCGCAUACGCUCGAGAGAGGAAAGUGGGGGAUCGCAAGACCUCACGUUAUAGGAGCGGCCGAUGUCCGAUUAGCUAGUUGGUGGGGUAAAGGCCUACCAAGGCGACGAUCGGUAGCUGGUCUGAGAGGAUGAUCAGCCACACUGGGACUGAGACACGGCCCAGACUCCUACGGAGGCAGCAGUGGGGAAUUUUGGGACAAUGGGCGAAAGCCUGAUCCAGCCAUGCCGCGUGCGGGAA
rnacentral:rRNA from 1 species